UUAAAGAAACACAGCCAAGGAACAGGCCAUGGGCAUCCGGGAAAGGGGAUGUGUCUCCUGCAUACCCAAGUGAUGUUCUCUUGACCCAAGUGAUGUUCUCUUGAUCCAUUUAAACUUCACCUUGUGCCUGACCAAGUCCUUCAAGAUUGCAACAGAAAGUAAACCCGGAGUUCUAGGAGUUCGUAAGUAAACAAUGCCAUGCCCCACCCCGGGGUCACACUCUGCAGGUGGACCACAUCCCAGGUUCUGUGUUCCGGUCAAGUUGAUGCUGUGAAGAGGAGUGGCCACCUCUACCUCACACUAGCAGGAGGCUGCCUUGACUUUGGAUGGAGACAUGCCGUUAACUACACCAAGGGGAAGCAGUGGGAUAAGUCUGAGGGUCUUAUUCCUUUCUCUUCAAUAAGGACAAAUCCAAUCCUGGUGUCCGGAUCACCUGCGGACUCAGCCUGCCCACGGUACCCAGCGCCUUCUGCACCGACGCAUGCGUCCUUGCCUUUUCUGUCAUCCGGGCAGCGUGCCGGAGUUAGUCUUUUCUCGGGAGGAGGGUUUAUUUGAACUUCAUUCUACCAUUAAUAAAACUGGCACCAGAUGGAUCUGAAGCUGAAGAAGAGAUACAUCUCAGCCAAAGAAAAAGUGCCCCACCCAACGAUAGGGCAGCAAGGGUCACAGUAUGUGUAGAAACUCGGCACAAAAAUCUUAACGGUGGUAAAAUACGUAUAGUAU